rnacentral:rRNA from 1 species
AUUGAACGCUGGCGGCAGGCUUAACACAUGCAAGUCGAGCGGAGUGAUGGUGCUUGCACUAUCACUUAGCGGCGGACGGGUGAGUAAUGCUUAGGAAUCUGCCUAUUAGUGGGGGACAACAUCUCGAAAGGGAUGCUAAUACCGCAUACGUCCUACGGGAGAAAGCAGGGGAUCACUUGUGACCUUGCGCUAAUAGAUGAGCCUAAGUCGGAUUAGCUAGUUGGUGGGGUAAAGGCCUACCAAGGCGACGAUCUGUAGCGGGUCUGGGAGGAUGAUCCGCCACACUGGGACUGAGAAACGGCCCAGACUCCUACGGGAGGCAGCAGUGGGGAAUAUUGGACAAUGGGGGGAACCCUGAUCCAGCCAUGCCGCGUGUGUGAAGAAGGCCUUAUGGUUGUAAAGCACUUUAAGCGAGGAGGAGGCUCUUUUGGUUAAUACCCAAGAUGAGUGGACGUUACUCGCAGAAUAAGCACCGGCUAACUCUGUGCCAGCCGCCGCAGUAA